UACGUAGGGUGCGAGCGUUGUCCGGAAUUAUUGGGCGUAAAGAGCUCGUAGGCGGUUUGUCGCGUCGACUGUGAAAACUGGGGGCUUAACUCUCAGCUUGCAGUUGAUACGGGCAGACUUGAGUUCGGUAGGGGAGACUGGAAUUCCUGGUGUAGCGGUGAAAUGCGCAGAUAUCAGGAAGAACACCCGUGGCGAAGGCGGCUCUCUGGGACGGUACUGACGCUGAGACGCGAAAGCGUGGGGAGCAAACAGG
rnacentral:rRNA from 1 species